rnacentral:rRNA from 1 species
GGCGGCAGGCCUAACACAUGCAAGUCGAGCGGUAGCACAGAGAGCUUGCUCUCGGGUGACGAGCGGCGGACGGGUGAGUAAUGUCUGGGAAACUGCCUGAUGGAGGGGGAUAACUACUGGAAACGGUAGCUAAUACCGCAUAACGUCGCAAGACCAAAGUGGGGGACCUUCGGGCCUCAUGCCAUCAGAUGUGCCCAGAUGGGAUUAGCUAGUAGGUGGGGUAACGGCUCACCUAGGCGACGAUCCCUAGCUGGUCUGAGAGGAUGACCAGCCACACUGGAACUGAGACACGGUCCAGACUCCUACGGGAGGCAGCAGUGGGGAAUAUUGCACAAUGGGCGCAAGCCUGAUGCAGCCAUGCCGCGUGUGUGAAGAAGGCCUUCGGGUUGUAAAGCACUUUCAGCGGGGAGGAAGGCGAUAAGGUUAAUAACCUUGUCGAUUGACGUUACCCGCAGAAGAAGCACCGGCUAACUCCGUGCCAGCAGCCGCGGUAAUACGGAGGGUGCAAGCGUUAAUCGGAAUUACUGGGCGUAAAGCGCACGCAGGCGGUCUGUCAAGUCGGAUGUGAAAUCCCCGGGCUCAACCUGGGAACUGCAUUCGAAACUGGCAGGCUAGAGUCUUGUAGAGGGGGGUAGAAUUCCAGGUGUAGCGGUGAAAUGCGUAGAGACCUGGAGGAAUACCGGUGGCGAAGGCGGCCCCCUGGACAAAGACUGACGCUCAGGUGCGAAAGCGUGGGGAGCAAACAGGAUUAGAUACCCUGGUAGUCCACGCCGUAAACGAUGUCGAUUUGGAGGUUGUGCCCUUGAGGCGUGGCUUCCGGAGCUAACGCGUUAAAUCGACCGCCUGGGGAGUACGGCCGCAAGGUUAAAACUCAAAUGAAUUGACGGGGGCCCGCACAAGCGGUGGAGCAUGUGGUUUAAUUCGAUGCAACGCGAAGAACCUUACCUGGUCUUGACAUCCACAGAACUUUCCAGAGAUGGAUUGGUGCCUUCGGGAACUGUGAGACAGGUGCUGCAUGGCUGUCGUCAGCUCGUGUUGUGAAAUGUUGGGUUAAGUCCCGCAACGAGCGCAACCCUUAUCCUUUGUUGCCAGCGGUCCGGCCGGGAACUCAAAGGAGACUGCCAGUGAUAAACUGGAGGAAGGUGGGGAUGACGUCAAGUCAUCAUGGCCCUUACGACCAGGGCUACACACGUGCUACAAUGGCAUAUACAAAGAGAAGCGACCUCGCGAGAGCAAGCGGACCUCAUAAAGUAUGUCGUAGUCCGGAUUGGAGUCUGCAACUCGACUCCAUGAAGUCGGAAUCGCUAGUAAUCGUAGAUCAGAAUGCUACGGUGAAUACGUUCCCGGGCCUUGUACACACCGCCCGUCACACCAUGGGAGUGGGUUGCAAAAGAAGUAGGUAGCUUAACCUUCGGGAGGGCGCUUACCACUUUGUGAUUCAUGACUGGGGUGAA